CACCUUAUCCAUGCACCACCACUCAACAGGUGGGCCCCACCAUCCACAUGCCCACCACCUCCUUAUCCACACACCACCACCCGCUACCACCUUAUCGAUACACCAACCACCACCAGUAGAAGAAUUAGCCAUGGUGCCACGCUGACACGCUGCUGAUCAGAGAGAAGAUCCCAGCCGUUGCGCCCUCCAAGGAGAUGCAGCCUAGCCAGCGGUGGCAAGGACAACAAGAGUAAGAACUGGCCCUUCGAGCUUCUUUGCACCACUUCCGGCACGCUGCAAAUCAAGUUCUCCGAUGAUUUCCUCGUCGGACGCUCUAGAUCAAGUUCUCUAACAACUUCCUCGUGGGCGAGGAAAAGUUGCUUUUGAUUUUUGUACCAAUUUGCCUACAAAAUGUCUAAGGGAUGGCACCAACAAAUACUCAUCGGAAGCGGACGUGAAAGCAUGCAAAAGGCGGCUCCUCCAACCCGGGCCAAUUGCCGGUAGGAGAUGACGGGGUAAUUUAUUUGUUGGUGAUCGUAAAAUAUUGUAGAUGUUAUGAAUUUGGAUUUACAAUAAUGAUAUAAUUGUAGAUGGAUAGAAGAUGGAUGUACGAUGCGAGCUGUGUGAGUGCAGCUGUGGUACAAGCCAUGACGCACAAGUCAAAUACAUAGUCUCAAUACAUGUGUUGUCCAUGCGUCGAUUGCGAGAACAAGAAGCAGUUCUCCACCACCCAGCAGAUACAUUCCUACUUGAUACUAAGGGGCUUUAUGCCUGGCUAUAACCGUUGGACCGAGCAUGGUAAAGUUGUGAUCGUACAGGAAGGGCAAUACAUUGAAAGAGAAGACGAGGACAUGUGCACCGAUAUGCCGGUCGACGAAUACAUCGAUAUGCCGCCUACCGGAGACACGUUGGCUGAUGAUGAUCUAGAAGAGAUGUUGGCCGACGCCAACAUCAAUGAUCUCGAGCAGAUGUUGUGCGAUGGGGAGGGGAACUUCACCAAUGAAAGAGAGUUCCAAAAGUUCCAGUGUAUGUUAGAGGAAUUUGAAAUACCAUUGU